UCUCAGUUCCAGGUUCUGUGCGAAUCAGC
rnacentral:piRNA from 1 species